GAUUAACGCUGGCGGCGUGCCUAACACAUGCAAGUCGAGCGGCAGCGAGUUUUACACUGAAUUCUGGAAGCUUCUAGUUGAAAGAGAAGAUUUAUUCAAGAAUUUUGUGUAAAAUGUCGGCGAGCGGCGGACGGCUGAGUAACGCGUGGGAACGUACCCCAAAGUGAGGGAUAACGCAUCGAAAGGUGUGCUAAUACCGCAUAUGGUCUUCGGAUUAAAGCCUUCGGGCGCUUUGGGAACGGCCUGCGUAAGAUUAGAUAGUUGGUGGGGUAAUGGCCUACCAAGUCGACGAUCUUUAACUGGUUUUAGAGGAUGAUCAGUCAGACUGGAACUGAGACACGGUCCAGACUCCUACGGGAGGCAGCAGUGAGGAAUCUUCCACAAUGGGCGAAAGCCUGAUGGAGCAACGCCGCGUGCAGGAUGAAGGCCUUCGGGUUGUAAACUGCUUUUAUAAGUGAGGAUUAUGACAGUAACUUAUGAAUAAGGAUCGGCUAACUACGUG
rnacentral:rRNA from 1 species